CCGACGGGUGAGUAACACGUAUCCAACCUGCCGUCUACUCUUGGACAGCCUUCUGAAAGGAAGAUUAAUACAAGAUGGCAUCAUGAGUCCGCAUGUUCACAUGAUUAAAGGUAUUCCGGUAGACGAUGGGGAUGCGUUCCAUUAGAUAGUAGGCGGGGUAACGGCCCACCAAGACUACGAUGGAUAGGGGUUCUGAGAGGAAGGUCCCCCACAUUGGAACUGAGACACGGUCCAA
rnacentral:rRNA from 1 species